GACGAACACUGGCGGCGUGCCUAAUACAUGCAAGUAGAACGCUGAAGGAGGAGCUUGCUUCUCUGGAUGAGUUGCGAACGGGUGAGUAACGCGUAGGUAACCUGCCUGGUAGCGGGGGAUAACUAUUGGAAACGAUAGCUAAUACCGCAUAAUAGUAGAUGUUGCAUGACAUUUGCUUAAAAGGUGCAAUUGCAUCACUACCAGAUGGACCUGCGUUGUAUUAGCUAGUUGGUGAGGUAACGGCUCACCAAGGCGACGAUACAUAGCCGACCUGAGAGGGUGAUCGGCCACACUGGGUCUGAGACACGGCCCAGACUCCUACGGGAGGCAGCAGUAGGGAAUCUUCGGCAAUGGACGGAAGUCUGACCGAGCAACGCCGCGUGAGUGAAGAAGGUUUUCGGAUCGUAAAGCUCUGUUGUAAGAGAAGAACGAGUGUGAGAGUGGAAAGUUCACACUG
rnacentral:rRNA from 1 species